UACGAGGGGCGCAAAUGUUGUUCGGAAUCACUGGGCGUAAAGGGAGCGUAGGCGGGUUCUUAAGUUAGGUGUUUAAUCCCGGGGCCCAACCCCGGACCGGCACUUAAAACUGGGAAUCUUGAAUAGUGGAGAGGUCAGUGGAAUUGGGGGUGUAGCGGUGGAAUGCGUAGAGAUCCCCAAGAACACCAGUUGCGAAGGCGGCUGACUGGACACAUAUUGACGCUGAGGCUCGAAAGCAUGGGGAGCAAACAGG
rnacentral:rRNA from 1 species